AUGGACGGGAUAAGUUCUGAAAGCAUCUAAGCAUGAAGCCCCCCUCAAGAUGAGAUUUCCCAACUUCGGUUAUAAGAUCCCUCGAAGAUGACGAGGUUAAUAGGUUCGAGGUGGAAGCGUGGUGACACGUGGAGCUGACGAAUACUAAUCGAUCGAAGACUUAAUCAAUUUUUAAA
rnacentral:rRNA from 1 species